ACGUGACAUGUUACAGUCACGUGGCUUUGAGGUCCUCCAUAAUGCUCUAUACUUGGGCUCUUUCCUAUUUCGGCAAUUCCAGCAAAGAGCAGAUAAGUCUAUCAAGUCUCUUCAGCUGUCAUUGCCGGUAGUGUGUAAACUCCAUGCGCGGUAUGGACAGCGUGACGUCAUAGGUGCGCGUACCAUGCUAAAGUCACGUGGCUUUGAAGCAGCCGCGGAUAUACCAGAAGGUACAUCCCGUUCGCUGUGGUCAUUAGAAAUUGAGCCUUUGAAUGUCACGUGACCCUGUGCUUUCAGAAGGUCCUUAAUGGCGCAUGGAGUUUAGGCAGUACAGUGUGUUUUUUGUCGCUUCUUAGAUGUUUCUAGAUACCAUGAAAACUGCAUUACAACAAUGACUUGGGAGUGUAACCAUCUGAAUCUUUUCCAGCGACCCACCUAUGUAAUCUCAUCAAGAGGGUCAGCGUGCAGUCCACCUUCUGGAAGUUUAUCUUAAACCCUUUGAUUGUUGUCCUCCUCGGCACCAGAUUGAUUAUGUCGGAGGCAUUCUGCAGAGAGGAUGACUAGCCACCCUGCAGUGGAAGCCGACCAUGAAUCUGAAGCUCAGAGCAAAGACCACAGUCUGGGCAGUGAUAAACCUGAGGAGCACAUGGAUCACACCUAUUCCGUGGCGUGUGACAUCAAAGAACGUGACAUCCCUUAUUCCGCUCUGAGUCCUGAUACCAUUGUGCUAAGAAGGAAAAUCCGGCGCUUACAUCGACGGGCACAAAGGCAAAAGCAUAAGAUUAAAUGCAUGAAGCAACUGAUUAAACAACUAAAGGCCUCCACUUAAUGGACUGUACGUGUACAGAUGUGUGGUAGUUAGUGAUCAUGGGGACGGCCAUUUUUCUGGACUUCUUGUUCGUAAUCCCAUUGAAGAAUACUGCAGUCGCCCUCAUCACUGCCAGAAAAGUGAGAUAAGAUUGAAAAAUACAGUGCAAGACUGCGGACAGUAGCUAUAUGCUGGUAAAAUAAAUGCUUACUGUUGAAAUGAAGACUGACUUGUAGGUACAUAAACCGUACAUGUCCAGGUGAAGCAGAGGGUAGGGGGCGCCACUGGACAGACUGUACCAAUGUCUGUUAUUAGACAGGAGGAAGCUGGCUCUCUACUGCCACCUAUUGGAUGGUUAUCCUACAAGUCAGUGUCUGGCCCUUUAACCAGGCCUUGAAACAGUGACUUGGAUGUUUGCCAAUUUAUUAUUCAAGGCCUGUUUAAAGGGCCAGACGUUUAAUUCUAGGGCAGGGAUCAGCAACCUCCGGCACUCCAGCUGUUGUGAAACUACGAUUCCCAGCAUGCUCCAUUCAUUUCUAUGAGAGUUCUUAGAAGAACAGAACAAGUAUCCUGCUGGGAGUUGUAGUUCCACAACAGCUGGAGUGCCGGAGGUUGCCUACCCCUGUUCUAGGGUAACGCUACAACGGUUGGCACUAGACAGCCAGCGUCUAUCCUCUCGGAUAGGAGUUCACGUACAUUUCCGUUUCCAGGCAGCAUUUUCUGGUCUAUUGGACUCCCUUCAUUAACUUGGCGGCCUUAACUUACCAAGACAUCCAUUAUGAUCUUGCUGUGGCUUUUUAUAUAGAUAUGAACGCUUGUAGUAAUAGGCCUAAAGCCUGAGGCUGCACUACUGGAUGAUUUGAUUGGCAAUAUGUUAACAUGUAUGCAUCUUUUUUAUAUUUAUAAAUAAAUGUAUUAGACAUGAAGAUAACAUGAA